GUAAAUCGUAAAUGAAGAAGUGUGCUUCUCAGGUGUAGUUUGGAACCCUAACCCUUGAUUUCUGCUUCGUCGUCCCGGAGUCUAGCAUUGCCAUUCGGCUUCCUAUUUCUUCCUCCGCAGAUUUUCCGCAGAAGUAUCGUAUACACCCUGGCAGGUCGUGUGUAUGUCUUAUACAUUCAAUGUGUUUUGCUUCCUUGGAGGAGACGUUGAAGGGGAUUUGUGCUUGGUCUUAUACAAUCCAUCCAUGCACGGAGACCAUAUUUCAUGUUUGUUGGUAUUCUUGCAAAAUCGUUAGUGUUGUCUCCAUUUCCAUGUUUUCAUUUGUUUCCUUUCUGGUCUUCUCUUCCUUAUAGUUUAGAAUGUUCUUCUUCCCCUCUCUUGGUGUAGUAGUUUCGACAGUUGUAAGUUUAUUUAUGCCUUUUGCAAUGAAAUGGUUUUAACAUCAAAAUAAGGAUGUAAUUCAAAAUUUUGGCAAGGUGAUGAGAAGUUGCAUUUGCAAAGGCUGUGACCAAUAAAGAACCUACAUUAUCUUUACUCUUGGUGGGUGCCAAAGUAUUGAUGAGUGCAUGAAAUAUAUUGAGAAACAUGUCUGGACAAUAAUCACAAAGAACAAAUAAUGUCUUUAAUGAACCUAAGCAUGUUGAAGACUUAUAAUAGGGUUUAGGAUGCUUUGUAAUUCUCAAUCCUGAGGAGUUUACCUUUGAUAGUCUAUUGGUCUAGUAAUACUGUCUCCUUGGGGAGAGUAUGCCGAUGGUUUUAUUUAUUUGUGCAUGGAUGCCUUUUUUUCAUGCUUGAUUCCUUUUUGAAGUUAUUAGGGUUGUCUAAAUUUGUUUUCUUUUGUUCGUUUUUUUGGUCAAGAAGAUCAUGUCAUUUCCAGCUAUUGUAAUUUUAAUUGUUCUAAAUUGAAGCAUGUUACGAUGAUAUGGUUUAGCACAUGUCCAUUGCUUUUUGUAUUUCAGAUAUCUUCAAGUUUAACUUUUGUUCAAAAUUUUGGUUUACUGUCAACUAAGUGAAGUAGUGGUAGUGAGCACAUGGAUUUCUCUCAGAAAAUUAUCCUCGCUCAUGAAAGGAAAUAAUAUUAACUAUUCAAUAAGUGAAUUGUUGUCUUAAAUAAGUUAAACAUGACUAAAGGCUGUUACAUGGUUGAGUGUGACUUCAAUUUUGGUUAUUUUGUAAUUGGCCUUGAACAUUUGCAUUGGCAAUUAUUGGUUCUUUGUGAUCUUGAGUAGUUGGUUUUUCGUUGCUUGUCAAACUAUUAAUGAAUUCUAUUAAUGAAUUCUUUAAUGUUUUUUUUUUCCAGACCUUUGAUUUCUAUUAAUGAAUGUCAAGGUUUAGUAAAAAAAAAGUCAUAUAUUUGUUUAUCUAAUUGUUCAAUAUUUUAGCAACCAUUCAUCUCUAAUCACAAAGUAAUUCUCCAUCCUUUUUCUUCUCUUAUUGUACUAUAAAAUUCAUUAUUAUUGAUAUGAAAUUUGGUUUUGAUACUUUCAUACCACCACGAUUCACAACUUUUUUGUUUCUUGCAAGUAUCGAUAUAUUCCCUUUUGAAGAGUCUCACAAUAAAACUGUAGAAAUGACGUCAUUUCAACGUAAGAUCUGCUAGUAUAUGUUCAUCGUGAAUAUUGUUUAAAUUUCUAUUCUCGUUUUUGAGAUAUGACACUUUUAGUAUCCAUAUCCUGCAUACCUGAGGCAGCAAAUCAUUGAUAGACUUUCCUUUUUCCUUUUUAUCUUUUUUAUGUUUUCUACCCUAAGAAUCUCAGUCACAUACUUCAUUUGUACAUUUGACAAAGCAACAAAAUCUUCUCGUCAGUGCUUUUAUUUCCCUACUCAUGAUAGCUGGAGCAACUGAAUUUUCAAGCUCUUUGGGUGUUCAAAGCUCCUUUGUGCUCUCUUGGUGACAAAUUGCUCUACCUUGUUUGUUUCCCCCUAUUUUUUGGUUGUAAGGAAAAAGGAAACUUGAGUCCCUAACAUCUAGGUUGACAAACCAUCGGAUUCCACUUGACCUAUUAGGGCAGUGGUCUACUGUGAUCUAUUUGAAUCCCAAUCUAUGUACUUUUUCUCUCUCUUUUGCGACCUCUCUUUCCUUUCUAUUUUGUUUUUCUCUCAAGAAUAUGGUUCUAUUUUAAGAUUUCAGAUUGUUGGUUACAAAUUUAAAAUUGAUUUUGUUCGCUUCCUUUCAGUCUUUAUUCUUUGUGACAUGUCAUAUUUCAAACCAACCAAGUCAAUUGGUCUGUUUAUUUCUAGGUGGUUGUCAACGAUGACAUUAUUAAAAUUAAUGUGUUUAUACUUAUAAUACCUGAGGUUGAUUGUCAACUGUUCUCUACAUUUUUUUGCUCUGCUGUUACGUCGAAGAAUUGUGAGCCUGUUCAUAUACACAAAAUGGAGCAGAAAGUCAUAUAAAAUCUAAUUCCUCUUUUGCAUGUUUUGAUUGUAUGGUUUAUACUAGUGUCUAGUAAAUCAUAAAAUAUGAGUAGAAUUGUAUUAACAUGAAUAGUAAUUGUUGUACUACCAUUGUGAACCUAAAAUGCAAUUUCAACAACAUUUUGAGCUUGUAUUUUUUGUUGCGUUAAAUUUGCAAUUGGAGUCCUUUUUUUAGGGUCACUUUUGGUACCGUCCAAACUUAGUAAGUUUAUGUUUGAGAGGUCAUCAUUUUUUAGAUUUUAAACUAAUAGCUCGUCCCAAUGUUUGAAACCAUGCCUAAACAAGUAGAUAGUUAACUACAUGUCUAGAAUAGUAUACUCAAACAACAAUCAUAUGACAGUGAAAAUAAAGUAUAAAGUUCUUGUUAAGGAAAGAAAGUCAAUCUAUGAUCAUAACAAAGACAUUAACUAUGCAGGCAUAAAAUUAUAUAUAUAUGAAGAAAGAAAGACAUAAAAUGAAAGAAGGAAAGAAGAAAAAUUGAGAAAUAAAAUAAGAGAAUUAUAUAUAGAAUGACAAUAUGCUAUUUCACAUCCCUAACCAAUGACUAAGCCCCCAAGGCCAUGUAGCAAAAUGUCGAUGUAAACCUAGUAGUCAUUCAUUAGUUGCACAAGGUCACCUAAUAGGAGUUUAGAAAGUCGUGGUUGUAGGAAAUUUUAAUUUUUAGGAAUUAAUUUUUUUGUUUCUCGUUUUUAAUGGUAGUUAGGUUUCCUUUCUUGGGUUGUAAUCUAUGGAGCACAGACAAUGCAAAAUAGGCGCCGUAGUGGUGUCGGACACGGGGACACGCCAAAUGGUUUGUCCCUUUAAUUUUAUUAUUUUUUUUUUGGAGGGGACAUGGAAGGGACACGCCGGGGACACAGCAGGGACAUGGGGACAAAGUUGGCACACACCAAAUGGUAUGUCCCUUUAAUUUUAUUUUCCAUUUUUUUUGUUGGGGACACUCCGGGGACACUUCGGUAACACGCAUGUUCAAAUAUGGAUAAUCUAUUAAUUUGUUUAAAUAUAGUGGCUUAUAUAUAUAUAUAUUAUAUAUAUUGAAUUAAUGUUAGUUUUUAUUAGUUUUGAUUGUUUGGUAAUAUAAUAUUAAUCUACAUAGCAAAUAUAUAUAAAAAUAAAUUAAAAAAAAUUGCCAUAUCCCUUGCUGUGUCCGUGUCUCCGUUUUUUUGAAAUCACCAUGUCCCGUGGUUGUGUCCGUGUUGCAUAGGUUGCAAUCAAAGUUAUGUAUUUAUUUAAAAAACACAUCUUCUGCUGGAUUUUGAGUCUUUUAUGAUUUGUAUAUUGGAUGGGGCACUUUUUAGGAAGUGUUUUUAUUUUUUUUUGGGAUGUCUUUAGAGAUUUCUAAUGUCUAUAGAAAGGGCCUCUUGUUGUAACAUGAUUUUGGAGUUGUAAUGAAAGUUUUUCCUUGUUAAAGAAUGAAUGUGGAAUUUUUCUACUGACUUGAGUGUUUGAACUCAAGCAGCCCCUAGUAAGGUAUUUUUCUCUUUCAUUUUCCUAUUUGCUGAAUUUCUGUUCCUUCAAAUCUGUCAAACAGACUUUAAUCAUCACAAUCCAAACUAAUAUCAUGGAAUUCAUUACUUUACAGACGGUAGCCCUAUUUUCCUCUUUUCAAUAUAUACUAACCUGUCCUUGUGUCACUCAUUAAAGGAAGAGAAGGCAUCCAACUUUGAUGGUGGUAGUGCUGUUGGAUGGACUGCCAGCGUUAAGUGGCAUAGCAGCCAAAACAGUGUUCUUAGGCUACCAAAGGCAAAGGAAAAAGAGGAUUGAGAACCAUAACCUGAGGGGAGCAUCCGUGGGCUCUCUUUUAGACUUUUUCUUGCAUUUUCUUCAGUUUGAUCAUCAAUCCAGUGGUAAAUCUCUCUCUUUAUGCAGUGUUUUUACUUAAUUCUACUAUGUCAUAUGUUUUUUUUAUAAUGGUUAACUAAAGCACAUGCAUUUUCCAUGCCUUUAGAGUAGUUUUUAGGUUGUUUUUGCAUUAUCCUGUACCUUGCAUGAUUAUUUAGGAUUCAUAACAUAUAUAUCAUACAUAAGGGCCUGGAUAGUUGAUCAUCCUUACAUGUUUGUCACUGUAUUUAUGCUGUCUUAGUUGUUUUAUAUGAAUAAAAGAAGUUUUUGAUGCAUAUAUGCCAUGUUUAGAUGAUUACCGGACCUUUAGGUUCACAUUAUGAAUUGUUGAAUUAGUUUUGUAUUUAGGAUCGUAUGUACAUGAUAAUACUAAUCAUGUUUUCAUGGAUUUAGUGCGGAGGAGUUAUGUAAGUCAUUCUCUCUUCUUUUGCAUCCAUUGUUUGUGGUUGCAUUGCCUUUCCUUUAAAAGCAUGCUUAUGUGCUAUUUGUGAUAUAUUUAUGUUGUUUGCAUGAUUUAGAGUAUAUUUUCUUCCACACCCCUUUGAAAAAUACUUAUUUUCAGAAACUUUUCAUUCCUUUGUAUAGCCUUCUAAAUAUGAUUUUUGGAAAGAAAAGAUGCGAAAGUAUGGAACAUUCCAAAAUAGAUGAUAUACCUCUUUAUUGUGACACAUAGAUGAUAGGCUAGUUUAAGGGAUUUAGGUGAAAUAAAUUGAGUAAGUGGAAUUAAAUAAGGAAAUAAAUAUCGUACCUAAACUCCCGAACCAAGAUUUUUUUGUAGCGAUGGACCAAUGGCUUAAAUUAACAUGGAGUUAAGAUUUUUUAGUUUCCCCAUAUAAAUUAGGUCGCACCAAAUCUAGUGAAUUGGUUUGAUUUGGCAAAAUGUGGGUUGUUCGACUUUGGUUAUUUGGAUUUCCAUAGUCCCUCGAUUUGUCCUUCAAUAAAUAAAAUGGAAUCCAGUAACUUGUGGGAAAAAUGAUUUAUUGCCAAAUUCAGACCUCGAUGAUUUACAGUUCAAAAAAGGAAAGUCACAGUUGCGCUUGUGCUCAUGUGAUGAAUGUAAACUUGAAGUUGAGUGGAACUGGAGACAGAGGAAGUGCAGCUUAACAUGAGUGUGGUGGUAGUGGCAACAGUUGCCUUUGUGGUAGUGGUGGUGGUCGUGUUGAUGAGUUUCUCUUCUAAUAGAACCUACAAUUGCAUAGCCAACCCAAUCCUUGGGAGCAUGUGUUGAUUCUAUGAUAGACUAGGCAGCCCAACAAUUUUUAGCAGCUACUUUUCUGAUCUCAAGUUGCUCUUAGAUAAUUCUCGAACAACUUGUAUACACUAUUUUAAUUUCAUUCUCCUUCGUGGUGUAUAUUACCUAGUUAAUUAUUCCAUUUGCUUCCAGAAGUUCUAGGACUCAACUCAACCAAUGUGUAGUAGAAAUGCUGACUAAUUUAUGUCUAUCAACGUGGAUUUCCAUUAUUUUGGUAAAACUGGUUUCUAUCAGUGAAGAUCUCAUUUCAUAUGUUGAAUUUGCUUUAUAGUAGAAUUUGGUUAUGAGUCAUAUUGGAAGAGACGGCUUGUAUUGAUUAGCAAUCAUGUUUGCUAGUAAUAGAUUUAUGUCUAUUAUUAGUUCUUCAAGAAAUUACUACUCACCCAAAAGAAAAAAAGAAAAAAGAAAAAAAAAAGAAACGAAAUUGGUUUCUAGUCAAAUAUGAAGCAAUCAGAAAUUACCUUAGACCUAACCCAUGUUUGAAACAGAAUGCAAUAAGAGUUGAUUGGAUUAAAUUAUGGCUUCAUCCAAACGCUUCCUUAAUUAGAGUGUGGUUGUGACUUGGUGUGAUGGCAUGUUGGCAAGUACUACCCAUCCCAAGCCUUGUGUCACGGGUUUGGGUUGCAACCUUGGCUUCACAUGAAUCAACCUCUCUACAAAGAAGUUGGUGUAAGAUUGCCUCCUAUUACCUAUUUCAGACAUUACUGCAAGCGGGAGCUUGUGCAUUGAUUCAGUAGCCCUGUCACAUGCAGCCCAAAGUGACUAGGUAAUGCAAAGACUGCCUGUGUACUUUUUUUUUUUUUUUGUUCAUUUUUUUUUAGGAAUGAUUACAAAAAAAUACAAAAAAUCUAGGAUUUGAGCCUUUUAAGAAAAUAAAUCCUGGGUUUCCAAUUUUGUCAAUUUAAACCCUAAACUUUUUAUUUGUUUUCAAUUUAAACCAUUUGCUUAAUUACGUAAAGUAAAAUCGAUCGAAAAAUGUGUAUUUUAGUCAUUAAAUUCAAUAAAAAAAAUAUACAUAAAAUGUCUUAAAUACCUUUUUUUUAAAUAUUGAAUUUAAUGACUAAAAUACACAUUUUUUAUCGAUUUACUUUACGUAAAUAAGCAAAUGGUUUAGAUUGAAAACAAAUCAAAGGUUUAGAUUGAAAACAAAUCAAAAGUUUAGGGUUUAAAUUGACAAAAUCAAAAAGUUAGGAUUUAUUUUGUUAAAAUGGUCAAACUUUGGGUUUUUUUUGUAAUCCCCUCCCCCUCCCCCUCCCUCUCCCUAUGAGUAUCACUGUGUACUUUUAAAUUAUUUUAAAUUAAAAAAAAAGGUAGAAAUAGAUGUACCUGUGCAUUUUUGGAACAUUUUAAAAUUAAAAAUGGGGAUAAAUUAAAAUUUAAAGACAUAUAUAUAUAUAUAUAUAUGCAAUUAUCUGUGCACAAUUUGUGCAUUAUUUGUGCACUACUGUUCAUUAUCUCUACACUUUUUACAGCUAAAAAUGCGGCAUAAAAAUAUAUUUGUCUACCUUAUUAAUGCUUUGCAAUCACUCAAUUUAGUCAAUGACUUUGAUUGUAUCGAAAUUUCUCAAUUGUAUAAGGGCUUGUUGCUCUGCUCAUCCCUCUUGAUUCACUUUGGAUUAUAACAACGGUUGUUACC